UACAGACGGUCCAAACGUUAUUCGGAAUCACUGGGCUUAAAGGGUGCGUAGGCGGCGCGGUAAGUUGGGUGUGAAAUCCCUCGGCUCAACCGAGGAAUUGCGCUUGAUACUGCCGUGCUCGAGGGAGACAGAGGUGAGCGGAACUUAGGGUGGAGCGGUGAAAUGCGUUGAUAUCCUAAGGAACACCAGUGGCGAAAGCGGCUCACUGGGUCUCUUCUGACGCUGAGGCACGAAAGCUAGGGGAGCGAACGGG
rnacentral:rRNA from 1 species